AGUGAGCGCUGGCGGUAGGCCUAACACAUGCAAGUCGAACGGCAGCACAGUAAGAGCUUGCUCUUACGGGUGGCGAGUGGCGGACGGGUGAGGAAUACAUCGGAAUCUACUUUUUCGUGGGGGAUAACGUAGGGAAACUUACGCUAAUACCGCAUACGACCUACGGGUGAAAGCAGGGGAUCUUCGGACCUUGCGCGAUUGAAUGAGCCGAUGUCGGAUUAGCUAGUUGGCGGGGUAAAGGCCCACCAAGGCGACGAUCCGUAGCUGGUCUGAGAGGAUGAUCAGCCACACUGGAACUGAGACACGGUCCAGACUCCUACGGGAGGCAGCAGUGGGGAAUAUUGGACAAUGGGCGCAAGCCUGAUCCAGCCAUACCGCGUGGGUGAAGUAGGCCUUCGGGUUGUAAAGCCCUUUUGUUGGGAAAGAAAAGCAGCAGGUUAAUACCCCGCUGUUCUGACGGUACCCAAAGAAUAAGCACCGGCUAACUUCGUG
rnacentral:rRNA from 1 species